CUUGAAGAUUACAAGUCAAUGCAACAGAAGAGAGCCUCUAAGCACAAGCCACGCACUGUUGGGAAAGAAAACAGCUGGGUGAAGAUGUUGAAGAAUUACAUCACGGAUGCAACUAAACCAAUCUUGUUGAACCCGAGCAAAUGAAGUUGUCAUCAGCCUGCACACAGGACUGCCCUGCAAAGAGUUUACUACUGCUGCAAGAUGGAAUGGAUAGAGCUGGAGAUGUUACACAGGCCUUGUUGGUAUGCAGAUAAACAUCACUGACAUUGUGAACACAAGUUUCUGAAAACAGCUAUGGAAUGAACAAUGAGGUAAUCUGUUUUUGGUGAGUUUGAUCCGGGA